rnacentral:rRNA from 1 species
AUUGAACGCUGGCGGCAGGCCUAACACAUGCAAGUCGAACGAGUGGCGGACGGGUGAGUAAUGUCUGGGAAACUGCCUGAUGGAGGGGGAUAACUACUGGAAACGGUCGCUAAUACCGCAUACUAUCGGAUGUGCCUAGAUUGGAUUAGCUAGUGGGUGGGGUAAAGGCGUACCAAGGCGACGAUCCGUAGCUGGUCUGAGAGGAUGAUCAGCCACACUGGAACUGAGACACGGUCCAGACUCCUACGGGAGGCAGCAGUGGGGAAUAUUGCACAAUGGGCGAAAGCCUGAUGCAGCCAUGCCGCGUGUGUGAAGAAGGCCUUCGGAUUGUAAAGUACUUUAAGCGGGGAGGCGUUACCCGCAGAAGAAGCACCGGCUAACUCCGUGCCAGCCGCCGCGGUAAUAC